ACAGCAGCCGCCACGGGAAUACGUAGGGUGCAAGCGUUAAUCGGAAUUACUGGGCGUAAAGCGUGCGCAGGCGGCUUUGCAAGACAGAUGUGAAAUCCCCGGGCUCAACCUGGGAACUGCAUUUGUGACUGCAUGGCUAGAGUACGGUAGAGGGGGAUGGAAUUCCGCGUGUAGCAGUGAAAUGCGUAGAUAUGCGGAGGAACACCGAUGGCGAAGGCAAUCCCCUGGACCUGUACUGACGCUCAUGCACGAAAGCGUGGGGAGCAAACAGGAUUAGAUACCCCCGUAGUCCCUGUCUCUUAUAC
rnacentral:rRNA from 1 species